rnacentral:rRNA from 1 species
CACUCCUACGGGAGGCAGCAGUGGGGAAUUUUGGACAAUGGGCGAAAGCCUGAUCCAGCAAUGCCGCGUGAGUGAAGAAGGCCUUCGGGUUGUAAAGCUCUUUUGUCAGGGAAGAAACGGUGAAAGCUAAUAUCUUUUGCUAAUGACGGUACCUGAAGAAUAAGCACCGGCUAACUACGUGCCAGCAGCCGCGGUAAUACGUAGGGUGCAAGCGUUAAUCGGAAUUACUGGGCGUAAAGCGUGCGCAGGCGGUUUUGUAAGUCUGAUGUGAAAUCCCCGGGCUCAACCUGGGAAUUGCAUUGGAGACUGCAAGGCUAGAAUCUGGCAGAGGGGGGUAGAAUUCCACGUGUAGCAGUGAAAUGCGUAGAUAUGAGGAGGAACACCGAUGGCGAAGGCAGCGCCCUGGGUCAAGAUUGACGCUCAUGCACGAAAGCGUGGGGAGCAAACAGGAUUAGAUACCCUUGUAGUCCCAUGAU